AGCUGAUGUUGUCAUCACAGUUUGCACUUAACUGACUGUCUUAAUUUAUUGUAUGAGCAAUUCAAAGGCAUACUGUUUCCAUAAUUUAAAAACAAAAGAUUUUUGUUUUUGUGUCUAGAUGUUCAAGAUCUGCAUUGGUAUCACAGAAACACUAAUUGAUUUUCAAGGUUGACAAAUGGCAUAUAAAGCCCCAGUGCCAAGCAGCCAAAGAUUGAAAUCCUGCGAAACAAUUUUCUGAAGAAAUGAAAGAGCGUGCCCUUCUGAACCCUGGAGGAAAAUAACCCCACGGUGCGAGGCAGAAUAUGAAACUGAGGCACAGAAUAAGUAAAAUAGACAAGUGCACCAGGCUUGUCACUUUUCCAUUUGCUGCCCCCGAGUGUGAGCACUUCAAAAUUCUCCUCAUCUCUGCAAAGACCUUCAUCGUUAUGCUCUAUCUACUGUACUGAAUACGAAAGAAGUACCCUAUCAGACAAAGGAUUCUCCAAAUUGGUCCUAUCGAAUGUGACAGGAGGAAGAGCAUUAAGCAUCUGACAAGAUGAUAUCUAAGUUCAAUUUCCUACUCCUCACCUGAUUUAUACCUGCAGCAGAUCAUUUUCUUUUACUGUCAUAAAGACCUCUAUAAAUCAGCGGUGCUUAUUGAAGCACUACAGAACAGGGUUCCUGGAUUUGUAUCCCCUGUGUUUGCUAUUAUGAAGCCAUUACAACCACAUUUUCCUCCUUCAAACAAAAAUGAUCAAAUCUAAUACUGGCAAGAUUAGAGAGAUAAAGAAAGAGAGCGCUGGCAGAGCUGUUCAGCACAGUCCCUAUCUAAACAAUAUGCUCUAAACUCAAUAAAAACAGGGCUUUUUGCUGGUGACACCCAUUAUCCAUCUGUUUGGACAAAAUUGCUGUAUCAUGGUAUAAAUCUGCGAUACAAGUGACAUAUCCUCUAAAAUAAAAGGGAACAUUAACUGCUCUAUCUUCUAGAGGCCAUGGGACUAGCUGGCUAUAAGCUCAGUCAAGUGUGAUGGCAGUUAUACUGUGUUUUACUAGACUGCAGACAAUUAUACUUUGCUCCUCUCCCCUAAGAAGACAAACUGCCAUGGCUUCAGCUGAAAUGAUUUCAAAUAGAUUUUCCAAAAUGUCUGCCGCCAGAUUGCUUCCAUACAUUAUUUCACUUAAAUGGAGAGAAAAAAAGAGGGAGUAAACCCACAAAUCAAUCACAAUAGCCCACUUUACCAGAUGGAAAGACAAGAGCUUUCGAUGUGCAUUGAAGACCUGCAGAGAAGGACACUUAUAGGAUGUGCACAGUCCUCUCUGAUGUGUCUCACUCAUUUUGAAGGAUGACAGAGUAUCUACUUUCAGUGGUGAGCUGGCAGUGCUGUAAGAGUGGAAUAAUGUAUAAUGAACUGACCUGCUGGCUUCUGGCUAGUUCAAUGACUGAGUAAUCCAUUAAGAAAAAGGGGAAAUACAAUUAUUUUACACAUGAUAGGUUACUAAACACACAACACACACUGUACUCUGAUAAAAGACAACAACAACAAAAGAGAUGUCACAGUGUUUAAUACUAAUUUUAAUAUACUUAAAACCCAAAAGUCAUGUUUUGUGUGGUAUUAACAAUUGUAUUUGAGUAAGUGAUCUGGAUAUUUCCUCCAACACUGGUUCAACAAGCCUACUUUUCAGGCAUUUCAUCUACAGUACCUCAGCAUCUGGAUAGAAACAAACGAUGCAACGGUUAACAUCCAAUCAGGGCAUUAUGUUCUAAACAGAUUGCCAAAUGCUGCUAACGCUAGCAUUGAAGUUAUGCUUUUGUCCUUGUCUCAAUAAUAUUGGAGAUGUCAGAUAGUAUCUAUUUAAUGUAGCUAACCACAUACAGUAUAUGUACAUGUAUAUGUAUAUAUACUUGUAUAUCAGCAUUUGUAAUGCUGAUGGCUAUAGUCAGAACUCGGUUAGAGGAA